CUGGCUGCUGUUGUGCUCUGAUAGUCACAUCACCCACUCCUGGCAUGAGGUGAAUGUGGAGGUACCACGAGGGCUUUGAGAGAGAAAAUUCACCAUUGCAUUGCUGAGAGGGAGAAGGAAAAUUUCCUCCACAGAAGGCUCAAGGAGUUACUGAAAAUUGAAAGAGCAGAAGAAAAGACGCUGAAAUUCAACCCAAGGGCAAGGAGCUCCGGGCCAGUUUUGCCUCCUGUGAAACGCGGCAACGCCUCUGACACCUCUGGCUGAAGAGAAAUACAAGCAGUGCCCUGAAGUGCUUCCACAGGU